rnacentral:rRNA from 1 species
GAUAUAGCGGCGAACGGGUGAGUAAUACGUUGGAACCUGCCCCGAACUCAGGGAUAGCCAUCCGAAAGGAUGAUUAAUACCGGAUAGUCCCGAAAGGGUAAAGAUUUUUCGGUUCGGGAGGGGCCUGCGGCCUAUCAGCUUGUUGGUAGUGUAAUAGACUACCAAGGCUAUGACGGGUAGCUGGUGUGAGAGCAUGACCAGCCACAAUGGAACUGAGACACGGUCCAUACUCC